CCAUGGCCACAUAUUUUUAUGAUUCUGUAUAACAAAUAUAUAUACAUAUAUAGGUCUGUGUUAUAUGUCUGAGUGACUUCCCCUGUGCUCCAAACCAAUGAUGGCGAAUGUAAACAUUGAAUUUACAUUACGAAAUGGUUCCAAGCAUAACAUUUCCCAGCCUGUUGAUAAUCAACAAUGCAGAUUGAAUUUAAAUAGUUUGAAAAAUUCCAUUAUACGUGUUCACGAGGAAAGCAACAAUUUUAUGACUAGUAUUGUAAACGACGAGAAAGCGCAAUGUAAAUUUACAGAAGAAUCUCAAGACAAUGAUGGAGUAAGUGAAGAGGACAGCUCAGAAGAAAGUGAUGGUACAGAGGAAGGAAUUGUUGAAGGAAAACCUCCACCUCUUAAGAAAAGUAAAUCAUAAAAAUUGACUCAUCUUUCUGUAUAGCAAUUAAAGUGAAUGACAAAAUUUAAUGGUUUUUACUUAUUGUUCUUACUGCUGUUUAAUGUAAGACAUUAAGUUUAAUCUGUCAUCGAUGCUCAUAACACGUUAAGUUUAUUCUGUCAUCAAUGCUCAUAACAUGUUAAGUUUAAUCUGUCAUCAAUGCUCAUAACAUGUUAAGUUUUAUCUGUCAUCAAUGCUCAUAACAUGUUAAGUUUAUUCUGUCAUCAAUACAUGUUAUGUUUAAUCUGUCAUCAAUGCUCAUAACAUUUUAAGUUUAAUCUGUCAUCAAUGCUCAUCAUCAAAGUCUAUGCACUGAUAAAGAAAUAAAAUGAACAAACAGAAGGAUUACAUAGUUUAUUUAUUCAUUGUUGUUAUCAUCAUGGUGCAUAGUGAGAACACGUUUCUAAUACAAAUAGUAGUAAUAAUUAUUGAAGUCUUAGUCUGGGAACAUCAUCAGAUGGAAUUAUACAAUGUUUAAACUUUUCUGUUUAAAUAUCUUGAUUAUGCAAAACAUUUCAACAAUUUUGUUAAAAUUUAUUUUGUAUUUAGGUUUCAAUGACAAUCAUAUUACUUAUUAUGGACUGAAUGAUCUAUUAUGAAUAAUAUGCACAAUAUAUAAAAUCACAGCACUUAUGAUUUUUAUGGCACAUUAGAAAUAAAUACAAAUUCAAUAACCUAAAACAUUCAUAAUUAUAAGGGAAUAAAACAAAAGUUACUUUUGAUAAUAAAAUUGCUUUCAUUUGAAAGAUGUUUGCAUGUACCUCAAAAUUUGAUUGUAAAUCAAACUGCUUGUACAAGUAAUGUAGAUGAAUGAUACAAUUAGUACCCCUGCUAUUAUAACAAUAAAAAAUGUGUCUGCUACAUGGCCAGUAGAAUAGAAAGUUAUGGGUUAUUACAUCAUAAAACAUGUACAUAUUUACUGAAGUAUUUGAGUACAGUGUUAUAACAGUCAAACAAGAAUACUUUAUAUACACUGUCUACAUGUAGUCAAAGCACUGGCUCAUAUCACAAAGUUGAUUAUUUCAGACAGGUCAUAUCUACAGAUGGAUUUCCAAUCAUAAGCUUUCGUUCUCAACUAGGAUGAACUGAGACUCUUUACUAGUUUUUUUAACAACACGAAACUGUAUAAAUAACUUUUAAAGGUUUGUUUUUUUUGGUAUAAAUUCCAGUACAUAUUUUAUCAAAAGAUUUGAAGAAAUGACUGAAUAAGUUUUUAACUUUCACCGGGCUGCUCAGUUUUUUAAAUGAUUAGAAUGGAAUGUAACAAGGACAGCAUCACACUGAUCUCAGCCAUACAUUGCAUUAAGUAGAUUCACAUAAAAUGUUCAGAGAAUCUAUAAGGUUCUUGAAAUAAUUUUUU